CCUACGGGUGGCAGCAGUGGGGAAUCUUGGACAAUGGGGGGAACCCUGAUCCAGCGACGCCGCGUGAGUGAAGAAGUAUUUCGGUACGUAAAGCUCUAUCAGCAGGGAAGAAAGAAAUGACGGUACCUGACUAAGAAGCUCCGGCUAACUACGUGCCAGCAGCCGCGGUAAUACGUAGGGGGCAAGCGUUAUCCGGAUUUACUGGGUGUAAAGGGAGCGUAGACGGGGAUGCAAGUCUGAAGUGAAAGGCGGGGGCCCAACCCCCGGACUGCUUUGGAAACUGUAUGGCUGGAGUGCAGGAGAGGUAAGUGGAAUUCCUAGUGUAGCGGUGAAAUGCGUAGAUAUUAGGAGGAACACCAGUGGCGAAGGCGGCUUUCUGGACUGUAACUGACGUUGAGGCUCGAAAGCGUGGGGAGCAAACAGGAUUAGAUACCCUGGUAGUC
rnacentral:rRNA from 1 species